CCAAUGCACAGAUUGCCGUUCGCGUACCAAAACAAAACGCAAAGAAUCAUUAGAAUGGCAGAAAAAUGCGACGAAAAGGAUAUUUUAAUGUAUACUAUUUGUAAAUGGUCCAGUUUUUCGUACAACUACGUCCCAGAAAACAUCUACAAGGAUAGUCCUAAGGAUCAAUCCUCGCGCUGGUCAUCAGACUCCAACCAUCCACCACAAUUUUUAACUCUUAAGCUUGAUAGACCAGCCAUUGUGAAUAGUAUUACUUUUGGGAAAUAUGAGAAGGCCCAUGUGUGCAAUUUAAAGAAAUUUAAGGUGUACGGAGGCCUGAAUGAUGACCACAUGAUAGAACUACUCGAGGGUGGUUUGAAGAAUGACCAUAUACCUGAAACAUUUCCACUUAAGAAAGAAAUGCAUGAAAAUGUCUUCCCGUGUAGAUACAUAAAGAUUGUUCCCCUCCAGGCAUGGGGCCCAUCUUGUUUUAAUUUCAGCAUCUGGUAUGUAAAGCUACAGGGCCAGAGUGACUGGGAUGUCGUACAGCCAUGUCUGCAAUGGCUGGUCACGUUCAGAGAGAAGGAAGCCAUCAGACUGUGCCUUAAACACUUCAGACAGAGGCAGUACACAGAGGCCUAUGAGGCCCUACAGAAGAAGACUAAGGUCUCCCUGGAGCACCCCAUACUGACGGAACUCCAUUCCAUGCUGGUAAAACAUGGUGAUUUUGAGAAGAGUGAGGACUUACUAUGGCAGGCUGCUGAAGAGGGGCUGUUUGAUCAGUAUAUUUGUGAUCAAGACUAUAAACCCAAAUGGACCCCUAUAGAUCCAGUUUCCAGAGGAGAAAAUCCUAGCGUGUACCAGCCAGGAAUGAGGGGAGGGCACCAAAUGUGUAUAGACCUGCAGAAUGAGAACCUAUACUUAUUUGGGGGAUGGGAUGGCAGUAAAGACCUGGCAGAUUUCUGGAUGUUUUCUGGGACAAAUAAAGACUGGACCUGUUUAAGUGCUGAUACACACAAAGUGGGCGGUCCUAACGCCAGAUCCUGUCACAAGAUGUGUCUAGACUAUGAGAGAAAACAAAUCUUCAUCCUGGGAAGAUAUUUGGAUUCAGCAAUGAGAACGUCAGAUAACCUGAAGAGUGACUUUUAUAUGUAUGACAUCAGCUCGGACAAGUGGACGUUAAUAAUGGAGGACACACAUACAAUGGGUGGACCGAGGCUCAUCUAUGACCACCAGAUGGUCAUUGACAUCGAGAAGCAAACGCUGUACUUAUUUGGAGGGCGUGUCUUAAACAGUAUGGGAUCAGAAAGAGGAAGUGAGACACUGUUUAGUGGACUUUAUGCUUACCACAUUCCCACCAACACAUGGUCCUGCAUCAUGGAAGACUGCCCCAGACUGCGGUCAAGGAUAGGCCACUCGAUGCUCUUUCACUCGAAAAGAAGAUUAUUAUAUGUUUUUGCCGGUCAGAGAGCCAAAGAAUAUCUAAAUGACUUCUUCACGUAUAAUGUGGACACUGGACAAAUAGUCAUCAUUACAGAUGGGUGUAAAAAAGACUCGGGAGUUCCAUCAGCUGGUUUUACGCAGAGAGCCACCAUUGAUCCAAACAAAGACGAGAUUCAUGUUCUGUCUGGCCUGAACAAGGAGAAGGAGAAGAGAGAAAACGUGAAGAAUUCCUUCUGGGUGUACAGCAUCAGGAAAAACAGAUGGUGGGUAAUCUUUAUACCCCCCCGCAACAAGUUGUGGGGGGGGGGUAUACUGGAAUCGGGUUGUCUGUCUGUCUGUCCGUCCGUCCGUCCGUCUGUAGACGCAAUGGUUUCCGGGCUCUAAACUUUCCACCUACCGUCACCAUAUCAUAUAUAUGAACUACCCAUGGGAUGAUGUUCCCUAUCGAUUUUUGGGUCAAAAGGUCAAAGGUCAAGCACACUGGACAUUGAAGUAGCAAUAUGGUUUCCGGACUCUAAAGCGUUAUCCUUUCCACCCACAGUCACCAUAUCAAACAUAUGGACUACCCAUGGGAUGAAGAUGUUCCCUAUCGAUUUUGGGGUCCAAAGGUCAUGCGCACUGGACAUCGAAGUAGCAAUAUGGUUCGGUUUGUCAUGCCAUUUGUUUUUUACACUCAGAAAAGAGGUAGUUUAUACCUAUUACCAACACCCUUUGGGAGAUUGGGGUAAGCGGGGGGUAUUCUUAGUGAGCAUUGCUCACAGUACCUCUUGCUGUUUCUGUUUCUAACAUCAGUUCGCAAAUUCUAUGGUUGUUAUAACAAUCUAGUUCGUCAAUACAACCUACCAUUGGGUCAACUGCUGUCUGAUGUGUUUCAUACCGAUUGUUAGAUCGUUUUAUUUUGAGGUAAGCUACUGACAAAUAAGUUGACGAUAAAGGGGUUUCAACAGUCUUGAUUAAAGUCAGCAUUUCGCAAAUUCUAUGGUCGUUAUAACGGUCUAGUUCGUCAAUACAACCUAUCAUUUGGGUCAAAUGCUGUCUGACGUGUUUCAUACCGAUUGUUAAGCAGUUCUUGGCACACUUAUUUUGACGACGGAUAGCUCAGUUUACCUGAUCAAGAUAGAGGGCUCACAGCGGGUGUGACCGGUCAACAGGGGAUGCUUACUCCUCCUAGGCACCUGAUCCCACUUCUGGUGUGUCCAGGGGUCCGUGUUUGCUGAGUUAGUACAAGUGUAGAAUUUUCUCUAGCCACUGUGGCUAAUUGGGUCCAAUUUUCAUUAACCAAAUUUCAUUUUCAUUAGCCACAUUUCAUUUUCAUUAACCACAUUUCAUUUUCAUUAGCCACAUUUCAUUUUCAUUAGCCACACUAAAUGUAAAAAAGAAAAGAAAAAAAAAAAGGAAAUUUACUAUCAUGGUUCAAACAUUUUUAUUUACAAAAUACACAUCCAUCACUAUCUGAAGGUUAUCAAAAUAAAAAAAGGAGAGAAAAAGUCAAAGCACUGGUAAAAUCUGGUAAAAAAUCGUGAUACACGAUUUCAAGAUGGGAACCUUGUCACUGUUUGUAAGAAAAAAGUCACAUUUUUAUGCAUAGUACUCUAGCAAAUUUUCUAACAAAAUAACAUUUACUAUUAGAUUCUCAACUAUGUUUAAUAAAUUCCCAACCCCAAGACCUUAAUGCAUGGCUGGUAUAAAGCAUAAUUAUAAUGUGAGUGCAUUGUAAUGUCAGUAAUACCCUGUCAAUUUUAGGAAAUAAUUAUAACGAUGAUAAUGUAACAGUAAAGAAGAAAAUGUAGAGACCCGUCCAACCAGAAAUGAAUUCGAACCCAGGAUUGUCCGCACACUUUGUACCCAUGGUUUGCUACAUGCUUACAAAUUAAAUCGUCUUUCCAAAGAUUAAAUUAUUCUGAAAUGAUGACAUUUUAAAUAUGUCAAAUGAGAAACAGUUGAGCCUGCACCCUCAUGAAUACAUGUUCAAUAUAUAACGUUCUGAAAAUCUUACAGCGGAUCCUGUGUACUGACAGAAUAUGAAAUCAUUUAAUAUUUAUUGUCUUGAUGAAAUUGCGGCCAUUUUGAUUGGCUGAAAAAUUCAUUUGAUUUCUGCAUCAAAGAAAACCUGAUUUUGACUCCAUGUCAUGUAUUGAUACGUCGUAUGAAUUUGAAAACAAAAUCAUGUUUUAUUAUCUAAACUCAAUGUUUUAAAAUAUUUAGAUGAUAAUUAAAUGACAAGAAAUGAAUCUCAUAAUUCUUUCAUUGAUGGCGAUAUCGUAGGGAAAAUUGGGCAGAAAAGUUCUUCAUCAAUGCCUUACGUAUUUUACGUUCAAUUUUCCCUGAUACCUGCACCAAGAAAAGAGUCAUAAGAUUCAUUAAGCAGUGUUAAUCAGUAUAAAUGAUUGAUUUUGUUAAUCAGUACAAAUGAUUGAUUUUGUUAAUCGGUACAAAUGAUUGAUUUUGUUAAUCAGUACGAAUGAUUGAUUUUGUUAAUCACUGUAAAUGAUUGAUUUUGUUAAUCAGUAUGUAUGAUUGAUUUUGUUAAUUGAUUUUGUUAAUUGACUUACGA